rnacentral:lncRNA from 1 species
AAUUUAAGAAAUUAAGUACAUCAAACGAAAGUGUUUAAGAAUUUUAUAAACUAAGAAAUUUGAUUUUAAAAUUUUUGAAGUGCAUACAACAAAUGAAUGUUCUAGAUCGUUCAUGAUGGGAAUUUUGUACAGUGUUCUUUCCUUGGAUGCCUUAAUGCAAACUUUGAGCAGAACAUAAUUUGGGUGCUAAUUUCGAACUUCUGUAGGUAUUGCAAUCGGAGGAGAUGUGUUCCCACGCUUUACCCUCUUCGAUCAUGUUUUGCGGUUUUCUUUUCAAAACUUUUUCCCUCUCCGAUCAUGUUUUGCGAUUUCCUUUUCAAAACUUUUCUCAAAAAUUAGAUAUGUAUAAAUUUGAGAAACAAAAAUGUAAACGGAGAAAAAAUUGAGCAAACAAAAAUUACGUGAAAAAAAGAGAGCUAAAGACCUAGAUGAAUAAAACCCAAUUGGAGAAAUACCAAAACCAGAAAACCCAGAUGAAGAAAUGGCACACGAAGAAGAACACCCGGAGUGCGACACAGUUGGUGAUGAGGCAGCCAGAACAGAGGGCGGAGAGAGAGAUAAAAGAGGAAGAGGAUAGAAACCCUAUUAAUUUUAGAUCUAAAUGUUG